UACGUAGGGGGCAAGCGUUGUCCGGAUUUAUUGGGCGUAAAGAGCUCGUAGGCGGUUUGGUAAGUCAGGUGUGAAAUCUCCACGCUCAACGUGGAGGGGCCACCCGAAACUGCCAUGGCUUGAGUCCGGUAGGGGAGUGUGGAAUUCCCGGUGUAGCGGUGAAAUGCGCAGAUAUCGGGAGGAACACCCGUAGCGAAGGCGGCACUCUGGGCCGGUACUGACGCUGAGGAGCGAAAGCGUGGGGAGCAAACAGG
rnacentral:rRNA from 1 species